ACACACACACAUACACACACACACACAGAUACACUGCAAGAAUGACGCACAGCCUCAGAGCAAAAUUCAAUAACUCUCCUCUAGAGAGAGGGAAAGAGCAGAGAUGAGCAAGACAAAGUCAGAUACAGGAAGAGAAGGGGGAGUAGAUGUCAAUAAGAAAGUUGAAAACAAGAGGGGGCGUGAGCCAUGCCAGCAGGCAGUGGGGGUGGUAGGCAGAGGCCCAGCACGGGCUCACAGGGGCACCAAACCCUCCAAAAGGUGUACCACUCCACACAUGGCACCUGGGAGGGGCUCCAUAUACAUUAGCUGGGUGGAUGUGUGGAUGGGGGUGAUGGGUGGAUGAAGUAACCUAGAGACUGGAAACAAAACCCGACAGAGGGCUUGGAAAGAGAAAGUUCUGGAUGCCCUCUACUUCCCUUGUCCCUUUCACCCUUCUCUUUUUCUCUAGGAGGCUGAUGACACCCAUCAGGGAGGUGCCCUGCCCUCUGGCUUCCAGCUGGGCUUGGCCAGUGAGAUGGCCAGCAGGAGAUGAUGGGGGAGGAGAAUGAGAUAAGGAUGUUCAUUCCCCUGGGUCACCUCAGGCUGGGUGGUCCCUCUCCUAGAGGUCUCAGCUCCCGGCAAGGCAGCCCCUCUAGGUGACAGUUUGUCUCCGGCGCCUGGUCAUUCAUUACUUCCACCCUUCACCCCUUAGGGAGUAGGGGGUGGUCACAGCCUCACAACUAUUAGCUCUAGGUUUCUGCAAAAUCCACAUCCUGCAAUAUAGCACCUUUGUAAACAAACUCGCUUCAGAUUUUCGUACAUUUAAGUGUUCCAUCCCUUUCCUGUUAGGACCCUGACUAACACAAGCCCACAGUGAAAAAAAUAGACAGCAGACACACACACACACCCUCUGCUGGGACCCGUAAAGUGACAGCUACAUCUAGAAAGAACAGGGAGGAAUGAGAAGCUGAGAGGGAACAGGAAGGAAAGGAGACAGAAAGAGCAACUCAGGGCCCCGGGAGGCGGAAGGGAGAACGCACUGAUAGGAAGGGGAAGCAGGGACACAGGUGUUCCUGGCAACCUCAUUUUAAUGACAAAAGAGUAGAAACCAUCUAAAUGCCCAUUACUAGGAGAACAGCCAAUAAACCAUGACAGCUCUGUCUGCUGGAAUACUAUGCAGCUGACAAAAAGGCAGAUGGACAGCUUUGUGUAUUGAGAUGGAAGGAGAUCCCCAAAAUAUGCCAGGUCAAAGUCCCGCUGAAGAGCUCAAUGCAAUUUAUAUGGGAAAAAAAUGCCCUGAGCCAAAACCUACCAAAAAAAUCAGAUUCUAUCGGGGAAAAAUAUACAUUUUUAUGUUUAAAAAUAUGUAUAUAGCCGGGCACAGUGGCUCACGCCUGUAAUCCCAGCACUUUGGGAGGCCGAGGCGGGUGGAUCACCUGAGGUCGGGAGUUCGAGACCAGCCUGACCAACAUGGAGAAACCCCGUCUCUACUAAAAAUACAAAAUUAGCUGGGCGUGGUGGCGCAUGCCUAUAAUCCCAGCUACUAGGGAUGCUGAGGCAGGAGAAUUGCUCGAGCCUGGGAGGCGGAGGUUAUGGUGAGCCGAGAUCGUGCCAUUGCAUUCCAGCCUCGGCAACAAGAGUGAAACUCCGCCUCAAAAAAAAAAAAAAAA
ensembl:lncRNA